UCCCCGGUAGCUCAGCGGUAGAGCGACUCCCUGUUAAGGAGACGGUCGCCCGUUCGAAUCGGGCCCGGGGAGCCA
rnacentral:tRNA from 1 species